GUGUUAAAUUUUGUUUUACCUGGGUAAUAUAAGUUAAGGUCUUUAAACCCAAAGAAUUUGGCGGUAUUUCAUACCAUUCAGAGGAACCUGUCUCGUAAUUGAUAGUACACGAUUAACUUUACUUGAUUUAUUUGUUUGUAUAUCUCCGUUAUCGGAAAAUCUUUUUGGAGUUAUAAUUUUCCUGUUUUUUUAUUAAAAAUUAUUUCAGGUCAAGGUGCAGCUUAUAAUCAAGUGUGUGAUGGGUUACAAUAAAUUUUUUUAUUAUGGAUUUAAUUUUGAAAUGUUUUUAAUGAAGGUGGAUUUGAUAGUAAAUUAAUUUAUUUAAUUUAGUUGAUAUUGGCUCU
rnacentral:rRNA from 1 species